rnacentral:rRNA from 1 species
AUUGAACGCUGGCGGCAGGCUUAACACAUGCAAGUCGAACGCCCCGCAAGGGGAGUGGCAGACGGGUGAGUAACGCGUGGGAACGUGCCCUAAGGUUCGGAACAACUCCGGGAAACUGGAGCUAAUACCGAAUGUGUCCGAGAGGAGAAAGAUUUAUCGCCUUAGGAUCGGCCCGCGUCAGAUUAGCUAGUUGGGGGGGUAAUGGCCUACCAAGGCGACGAUCUGUAGCUGGUCUGAGAGGACGACCAGCCACACUGGGACUGAGACACGGCCCAGACUCCUACGGGAGGCAGCAGUGGGGAAUCUUGGACAAUGGGCGCAAGCCUGAUCCAGCCAUGCCGCGUGGAUGAUGAAGGCCUUAGGGUUGUAAAAUCCUUUCGUCGGGGACGAUAGUGACGGUACCCGAAGAAGAAGCUCCGGCUAACUUCGUGCCAGCCGCCGCCGUAACAC